UCGUCGGUGGUAUAACGGUUAGCAUAGCUGCCUUCCAAGCAGUUGACCCGGGUUCGACUCCCGGCCGACGCA
rnacentral:tRNA from 1 species